GCAGCGCGCAGAAGGCAAUUUCUGCAAAGGUCUUAUAGACCUUUGCAGAAAUCGCCUUCUGCGCGCUGC
rnacentral:pre_miRNA from 1 species